rnacentral:rRNA from 1 species
UUUUCCCGCCAGAAAAAAAACACCUCGGUUAAUUUUCCUUUCCCACCCAACCCCCGGUAAAUCGGGAGGGUGCCAAACGCUUUAAUUGGGAAUUUCUGGGCGCUAAAAGCCCCCCCCCAGGCGGUUUUGUUAAGUUCAAAAUUGGAAAUCCCCGGGGCUUUAACCUGGGGAACUGCCAUUUGAAACUGGGCAGGCUUGAGUUCUCGUAGAGGAGGGGUAGCAUUUCCAGGUGUAGCGGUGAAAUGCGUAGAGAUUUGGAGGAAUACCGGUGGCGAAGGCGGCCCCCUGGACGAAGACUGACGCUCAGGUGCGAAAGCGUGGGGAGCAAACAGGAUUAGAUACCCUGGUAGUCCACGCCGUAAACGAUGUCGACUUGGAGGUUGUUCCCUUGAGGAGUGGCUUCCGGAGCUAACGCGUUAAGUCGCCCGCCUGGGGAGUACGGCCCGCAAGGUUAAAACUCAAAUGAAUUGACGGGGGCCCGCACAAGCGGUGGAGCAUGUGGUUUAAUUCGAUGCAACGCGAAGAACCUCACCUACUCUUGACAUCCAGCGAACUUUCCAGAGAUGGAUUGGUGCCUUCGGGAACGCUGAGACAGGUGCUGCAUGGCUGUCGUCAGCUCGUGUUGUGAAAAGUUGGGGUAAGUCCCCCAAAGAGAGCGAACCUUAUCUCCUGUGUCCCCAGCGAUUGUGUCGGGCACUCAAAGGAGUCUCCCGGUGAUAACCCCGGAGAAAGGUGGGGAUGGCGUCAAGUCAUCAUGGCCCUUACGAGUAGGGCUACACACGUGCUACAAUGGCGCAUACAAAGAGAAGCGACCUCGCGAGAGCAAGCGGACCUCACAAAGUGCGUCGUAGUCCGGAUCGGAGUCUGCAACUCGACUCCGUGAAGUCGGAAUCGCUAGUAAUCGUGGAUCAGAAUGCCACGGUGAAUACGUUCCCGGGCCUUGUACACACCGCCCGUCACACCAUGGGAGUGGGUUGCAAAAGAAGUAGGUAGCUUAGCAUUGUGGGAGGGAGUUUACCAUGAGGAGUCGGACCUGAUUA